GGAGACAGCUCAUCGGGAUAUUACCCCAAACAAGCAGUCUAAAUAUUUUCCCUCCUGCAAAUUGGAGUGGUCGUGUACAGAAAAGGAGAAUAUCUCACCUGGUGUGCAUCAUCAAAGACAAUUCUCGAAGCUAUCUCCCUGCCAUGACAUCGGCUUGCAUCGCUUCCGUCAUCGUGACGCACAUAGCUGCCACGGCUCUCCUUGUCGUUGCCUUGGCAACGUCACACUGGGUGUGGAUUGGACGGAUCAACAGAACAGGGCUGUGCGCAUGCUCCGAGUGCGACUGCGGCGUCUGGUACUUUUGCUCGCGCGGGAGGCAUGGCGAUGGGGAGGAACACAGUGACUGCACUUUUUUAUUGCAAACGAGAGCCGCGUGGAAAUGCAACUCCCAGAUUGGUUCAAAGCAACACAAGCAAUCUUAGUACUGCCGCGGCACUGAGUGUGACAUCAGUGAUGCUGGAACUGGCAGCCGCGUGUCUUCUCAAGAACCUUCAUCAUGUCAUCAUAGUUACUUCUGUCUUAUCAGCCUUUCUGCUGACCGUGGCCGUCUGCAUUUUCGGGACGGAGGUAUCUCACCUGGACGACAUCGCUCUGACCAUCGAGGGACUUGACGAUAAGAGCUACCUGGCGUGGAGCUAUUGGGUGGCCGUCGCCGCAGCAGGUCUCGCCUGGCUGGCUACGUCAUGCUCACUGAUAGUCUGCUGGCACAGGUGCAGCCCGCUCUACUCUGUUUGAAGUCACGUGAGACGUUACGUCACGGCAGCUGACCAAUGAACACUUGCAACGGGAAAACCGUUCACUCUGCAGCUCAUUGCAGAGAAUUUUGGGUAGGGUGCAAUUAAGGUAGUGCGUGCGAGUGAGAGAGAGAGAACAGGUAUCAUGCAACUGAUCAUUUCUGGGACAACGUAGCUGGAAAAAGACAUAUUGAGGUAACUCAUAGAAAGAUUUACGAACUUAGCGACGAAUAGAAAAUUUCGUAAACAGGUUCACACAACCUUGAUAGCUAGCUUAGAUGCUACAAAGCUUCGCUAUGCUCACCGUUAUCAUUUCACGUGAACUGCCACCUGCGUGUGUAUUUGUUAUCUCUUUCCACUUCAUGUAAAGCAGAUGACUCUUUUAAUAUCUACUUGUCUGCCUUACAGUGUCAAUAACCGUGGCGUCAACACUCUUAAGCACAACUGAUUAAAAACACAAAUAUGCUUGCAGCAUUUUAUUUGCCACCAGCAAACGCCAACGUACUGUAGGAAAUUCUUUCAAAAUCACAAAGGGAAAUCACUGGACCAAAAGGACAAGUGCCUCAUUAUUUUGUCAAUCAAGAAUGAUGAAAAAAAAACACAUUUGAGAAACAAAAUCACAAUACAACUUUUACAAUUUAUUUUGCUGCUCACUGCAACAAUAAGAGUGCGAUGUCAGCUUUCUUUAGUUUUUAUUUGAAGUGGAAGGGUGACAAGAAAACUUGAUUAUUUGACAAUAAACGCUGAUUUCAGAUAAA